UUUUAUUUUAACUGUUGUAAGAUCAAUGUCUUAAGUUACUUUUACAGUAUUCUUCCUAUAUAGCUAAUAGAAAAAAGGCUGAGGCCCAUCUAACUGGUGGGGGUCCACCUCCACCUCCUCUCACCCCAUCUGAGGAGUUGGCUCUUUCACUUAAUAAAGGUCGCCCUGUGGUCGAUGGUAUUCCAGAGGGCACUUCGUCAGACUUUGCUACCUCCCACAACAACUCAAGUGACUUGGUACAAUUUGCUGAUGGACGCAUUGUAUUAUUGGAUCCUCCUGAAACCACACAGUCUGUCACAAUUGAUGAUGAUGAAGAGACCACAUCUGCUGUGACUGAAUUAGAAAGUGCUGGGAGACCCACGGAGGUAUGAUGCAUAUACUGGACACUGCAUAACUUUUUAGAUGGAGUGAAAAAUGUGUCAUUUGUCCUGUGACAGAAUCUAGCUGGUCUAGCAGAUGAGGGUCCAUCUACCUCUACAUAUAAUCUUAGCAGUGUACGAACUUGUCCCUGG
ensembl:lncRNA